ACGGCCAUACCAUGCUGAAUAUACCGGUUCUCGUUAGAUCACCGAAGUCAAGCAUCAUUGGGUACCACCAGUACUUGUCACCCACCCAGCACUUGGGUGGGUGACCACCUGGGAACACCGCGU